GGAGAAAAACAUUUUAUUAUGCCCGUGAGCCCACUGGGGAUUCUAAGCACUCUACCAGAAAUGAGAGCCUCCUUAUAUAGGGAUCUACAGAGUAGGUGAGCAUGCUCAAUGAAGCAGGGGGCGGAGUUACAGAACAUUCCUGAAGUAAAGGGGUGGGGUUACAGAACAUUCCUGAAACACAUGCCAUGUGAGCAUGCUCAAUAAAGCAGGAGGAAGAGUUACAGAAUAUUCCUGAAACAGAGGGGCAGAGUUACAGAACAUUCUUGAGAGGGGCGGGGCUUAACAGAACACUCCUCAAAGGUCAUACAGUUCAAAGAGUCACAAACAAUUUUGAUACAUUGGGCCAGAGCCCAGCAACACAAACUUACACUUCCAAAACAAAACAUUCUGUGGGCAAAAAAUGGAGGCAAGAAACAGCACUCUUCCCUGAGAAAGAUACAAGUUCCCCUCUCUUCCACUGUAAGUAAGUCAACGGCAUGGCGGUUUUGUAGAGUGACUCCAGUUACAUCCUGUGAAUGGUGUCCUCAGGCUUCGGCCAUGCAUAGACUCCACAUCUGACUAGAGCAGGACUGUUAUCUCCUGAUGCUAUAUCCAAGGCAAGGUGAGUUCCAAGGUCUUCUGUCUGAGUCGAGUCCUAAGGGGAUUCUGGGGGUUCAGGUGGGUAGUCCAGGUGUCCAGGACUUCUGCAGGGAGGAACUUCUUUAUUCAUGAUGUGCCCAUGUGAUAAUACCUGUAACUUUGACAGCAGUGGGGGAAGAAAGCACAACAGUAUAUGGCCCUAGCCAAUAGGUUGGAGGGGUGUCCUUUUCCAAUCUUUAACCCAAACUGAUAACAUCUCUCCUAAAAUAUCUAAUGAUUGGGGGGGAGGUCUCUCAAACAUUAUCUCAUAUGGGGAAUAACCUAAGAGUCUGUCCACCUGACUCUGGGCAGGGCCAGAGGUAACAUGUCUGGCCACUCUGUCCCUGUUUCUUGGCAAUACUUAGCAAAGAUGGUUUUAAGGGUUCAAUUCAUGCAUUCUAGCCUCCUUGAAAUUUGUGGCUGAUAGGCUCUGCACAGAUUCCAUUUAAUCUUUAGCAUAUCAGAGAGGCCUUGGAUAGCCU
rnacentral:lncRNA from 1 species